rnacentral:lncRNA from 1 species
UUUUUUUUAUUAAAUUUAUCGCAAAUUGGGUUUGAUAUUGGAGUUUGGAGUUACCGGGGUAUCCAGAAAGGAGGAGGGGUGUAGAGAGUAAUAGAGUUGUUUAUAUACAAUUUGGUCAAAUAAAGUCUUGGCACCAAAAUUUUGCUAUAUGCACCAAUUGUAUUAAGAAUGUGGCAUUGGGUACUAUGGCGAAAGCACCCUAAUAAUGUUUUGGGGUUAGUAUUAG